GGGCUGGCUUUAGCCCAGCGAUUCCUUCGACUUUGGCUUCCCAACCGCCUUGGCCACUGGCUUCCAUUCGUCCUGUGGUUUGAGACCCCCCCUGGUGCUCUCCAGUCCUUUA
ensembl:misc_RNA Vault Vault RNA